rnacentral:lncRNA from 1 species
GCUUUACGAUAUGGCUGUUUGUGUUUUUGCGUGCCUGGUAAAAUUCUACCUUGCAUUUCGAUGCACCCCUGGCAGAUAGCGCUGAUGGCGAUCUGAAAAUCGUCCAUCUUUGUUUUUGUUCAGGAACCAACGUGAAGUGAAGUGUAAAUCGUCGAAAAAUGGACACCGAUACGCCCGUAGUAAAAACCCCCAAGAGGAAGCGUGCGAUCAAGCACUCAAUCGCCGUUGGAUUAAACAAAGGUCACAAAGUAACUAAAAUCAGUAUGCUAAAUCCAGGCAUGAGAAAACAAAGAAAAUUCUUCCAUCUAGGUUUUAAGGAGUAAGUAUUAAUGGAACUCUAACAAUUUUUUUUCGGACAGCCAAGUUUCAGGAAUCACAUUACUGAAGGAAAAAUGUAACUUCAUAGCUGACUCUAAGUUGAUGUUGGCGGUAUUUUGAAUCACAAUAGAUUUUUCCUGUUUGAUUAGUUUGUAAAGUCUAUCUACUUGUGUACAUGGAAGAAAAAAUAUUCGUAUUCCUAGAUAAAAUAGACACUAGAACUGGGGAUAGAAAAGAAUAGGUAGACGAUGGAUCAGUUGCGCUAGUCACAGAAUCAUGUUUUGAUGCUUGAUUCUUGUAGAUUAGAUAUAUUAAUGAGAUCCGCCCUAACUGCAACUCUCUACAUUCAACAUUCACCGAGAGAUCGCGCUUUGAAAAGUCUGACGUCAUCUACCUUGGUAGUGACACCCUUGGUUUCUUCCAGUUUUGUUUGAUCGCAUUGAUGUAGAAGGCAAAAUGCACAACUUUAACUACAUUAAAAAUAAACAAACUGUGAUAAACUGACUGACCACCUUACCUCUUCGCCAUUGAGUACGUUAUCUCCUGACAAGAAGAUUCUGAAAGAGGGAAUCUGUCUGUUUUUCUAAGUUUGCUGUGUGUUGAUGUCCUUGAACUUUGCGUUGCACCCUCUGCAUCACGAUCAACAAAGAGAAGGAAGAAACCAAGGGUGUCACUACCAAGGUGGAUGAAAAAUCAAAAAUCCGACUUCUCAAAAUAAUGUUUCAGUAAUUACGAUAUCUCUGUCGAUAUUGGAUGCAAAAGAGUUGCUGUUUGGACGAAUCUUAUUAUUUUUAGCUGAUACACAAGAAUCAAGCAUCAAAAUACAAUUCUGAGACCAGCGCAACUGACCCUUGUCACAUCAAUCUUGACGCAUUUAAGUAUUGUGAGUUGGCCCAUCGGUUACCACUUUAAAAUAUGUUGAAUGGUCCUUUUCUCUAAUGUAACUUUUGUCCAUUCUUUUUAUUCCCCAGUCCUACCUGUGUUGUGUCACAGAAAAGCAAUGUAUAUACGUUUUUUUUCACUGGCAGCAUUUAAAUAGGAUUUAUCUUGUUAUCGUGCGGUACAAUUUAUAAUACAAAAUCGCAAUGACGACAACACCACUAAUAGUGUUAAUGAACUAUCAUAAAUACUGGAAACAUAAAUUGCUCAGGAUUGUACAAAUUUUUUUUGUUCUUUGAGCUUUUCUUCUCUGGGAAAGAAAUGCCAGUCAUUAGAUCUCUGAAAAGCCUCUCAUAUUCUGGGUGAAAAACUAGAGAGAUGUUUUUAAGCCACCUGUAACUUUUUUUGUCACUACUGGUUUUCCCCAGUACUGAAGUAUUGAUUACCCAAGUUUUUUGCUUGACUCUCGGAGAUCUUUAGCCAACGUCUUCCUUGCCAUUAAAAAAAGGUUCUAAAACUUGUUAAAGUGCUGUUGCUGUAGAAGUAGAUGUAAAUCUCUUUCGGUUAUUCACUAUCAAUGUAAGUUUUCAAUCAACAACUGAAUGUGGAAAGUAUCUUAUUUGUCGCUCUGCUAAUCAAAUGAUUUUGCUUUUAU